UAAAAUAUCAGCCUUUCUAAAACUGUUGCAGUUUUGGUCCCUCAGCUCUCGGACUAACAUCCCUGCUCGUCACUGUGGCGCGCCGGGCGCACGACUUCAGCUCACGGCGAUUUCAGGUUAGGUUGUAACCGGACGGUUACAACCUAACCUGAAAUCGCCUACUGGAGGCACGAAUCAACGCUACGUGUCCUUAGAAAUCAACGGUCGCCACUCGGUUUGACCUUUGAACCACCGAGAAGGUUCCCGCCACCGCUGGAUCAUCGCCGUCGCCGAUCAGGAUCGUCGCUGCCACCGGAAUCCAGGAUCAACGAGGGACUUCGAGUGAUCGACGCCAAUGGAUCAGGUAAAUAGAAGUGAUGGUUGUUCACAAAAGUUCAAGUCACACAAGAUGUCGGACGCUCGUAUACGUGGGCACAGACGCCCCGUUUAUCUACGACGCACGAAGUUAUUUCGGGCUAAAAAGACCGUUCGUCAAUGUAAAGACGACAAUUAACGCGUUCCGCGGGCGUUCCCGGUUGUUAUGAAUGUUGUCGAAUUGUAAUUAUCGCACUCGUGUAACGUUCACGGUGACUUAGCGCGACGACGAAAGAGCGAGGCUUAUUACGUGUUGCUCGUACGAACAUCCCCGAGAGACUGCCUCGAGUUGUUUGUCUCGCUUGAGCUCCCCACCAUCGGUAUCGGUGGCCCCCACUUCGACGCCUAUUCCGCUUUCUCUUUUCGCGAACUACGCAUAUCACCUCGGUAAUUUUCCACGCAGGUGUUUACGCCGUUUGCGCCGAUCCUCGUGGAAAUUUCCAUAUGCGUUGCGCUCGCGCGGUCACUCCGUCCCGGUGACGGGGUAGCGGUUUUCCACCGCUGCUACUCUUUCGCGGCCGUUGACGCCGACCCAUGCGCCGCGUCUAUUACCGCGCGUACAAUGACCUUCCGGACGACUUCCUCGAGGAAAACGUCCGGGUGCAGAACACCAGGUUCGCCGACGACGUCGACCCCUCCUGACCUUUGUUCGGGACCUAGUAACGCGGUUUCCGCGGUCUUUCCCCGUAGAAGAGGUCUAGGUCGUGAGAUAGCGGACGGUUCCGUAGCUUUGCUCCCGGUCGUCGGAUUUCAACGGCGACCGGAUACGGAUGUUUCUUGGGAUGUCCCCGUUCGUCAGGGAUGUUGUUUCCCUGAGGAUGACGCACCUAGUGCGAUAUUCAGGACGGUCCGCUAUUUCGUUCCUUGGUUGACGGAUUUCGUCGGGACUCGGUUUCGCGGGCUCGGUGGAGUGCCCCUCGGUGUCAGGGAUGCCUAACUUCUGUGGAUGACGCACCUGGUGCGAGUUCGCGGACGGUUCGCUAUUUUGCGUUUACGCUCCAGCGUCACGUCGCCAAACCCGUAUGUGUCAUUCAGGGACCCCGCGCCUUCGUCAGGGACGUAUCAUAUCGCCGCAAAGCUGUCGGUUACGGAAUUUCCCGACGGUCCGCCAUUUUUUAUACGGGUGGUCGGACUGUAAUUCUAACGCGUGAACUAUGUCUCGCGGGUCUUCCCCUGUGGUCAGAGGUCGUUACCUUCCGCGUCCGUCGCGCCAUUUCUGAAUUCGCGGACGGUCCGCCAUUUUCUUCCCGCGCGACGUUUCCGCUAUUUUACUGCGCGUCCUUCUCGGGGCUCGGUUAGUCGCCGAGGCUCAGCAGUCUUUACUCCGCGAACGUGGUCCGCCAUUUUGCCGUACGUCGUUCGCCCGUUCUGUGGGUUGUCUCGGCUCGUCCGCCGCGUUGCGGGAAGGCAUCCUGGCCGCUCGCAUGGAAGCCUCCCCUUUCCUGGAAAGUGUGUUUGGGCUCAAGCCCUGUCGUGCCGCCGCACGAUACCCCGUACCCGCGCCGACGGGAAUAAAUAAACACGCGUAAACGAACUGAAAGAGAUGACCCCUCCUCGAGGGGAUAUUCUGGCUGAGCCGCAAAUAAACGUCGAAUACUGGCGCGGUAUCAAUCACUUAAACCUAAUCAAGCGCCGGAUGGGGUCGCUACUCAACAUACUCUGAUAAGACAAAAUCAACUGAAAAUAAUCAUAAUCAAAAAGGAAAAGGAAAAGAAAUUCGCUGUCGCUCGAUUGUCUCCCCAUCCUCGGAACGCGAGCACGCAACUUAAGAUUAGUUGAGGCGUGGUUCCGCCUCGUCCGCCUCGGAGCCGCUGCUCUCCUCUGGGCUCCGGAACGACAUCGUGGAUCCGCAGUCCUCCUCUGCGGGUUCGCCCCCGGUUGCUUGUUCGCCCCCCGACGCUUCAGGGGCGCGCGCUUCUAGAUCUGGAAUAUCGGGGAGCUCGGCCUCGAGCAUCUCCACGAUAUUUUUUAACGCGCCAAGGUCGGUUGGCAGAUCUAGGUCAUCGGUCGGAGUCGGGCCCCGUUCCUGGACCCCUGGACUCCGGAUCAGCAGCACCGCCGCCUCGCAAGCCAGUCCCGGCUCCUCUGCCGCCUCCGCGAUCGGUACUGGUAGGUUGUCCGGUUCUGCGGGUCGUGCCAGCAGCCGCACCGCGCUCUCGGAGCAGCCGGCGCAACACCACCUUGGGCGCCUGUAAGCGCGCGACGCGAGGCGCGGUUGCGCACGGUCGCAAGGUUUCCCUCAAGCGUGAUUCUGUCUUUCCUUGCACGUGCAUCAGUUUGUAUCGGAGGGAAAUGGUACGCACGUAUCGUUGCAAAACGGGUGUUUUGGCCGACCGAAAAGAUGGCGGACCGUUGUUUUCGAGAUCGCUCGCGCUCACGGCACGUCGGCGAGGUACGGCGAGGCACGGCUCUGAGAUUCCGCGAUUUCCGCGCGAGAGUUGAUAUGCCGCGCGCUUGGUAGAUCGUCCCGGCCGGGUAGAUCGUCGUUGUUGGUCGUUGUGUCAGUGUCAGUGUAGUGGUGGUGGUGGUCGUCG